rnacentral:rRNA from 2 species
GGGUUGUGAGGUUAAGCGACCAAGCGUACACGGUGGAUGCCCUGGCAGUCAGAGGCGAUGAAGGACGUGCUAAUCUGCGAUAAGCGCCGGUAAGGUGAUAUGAACCGUUAUAACCGGCGAUUUCCGAAUGGGGAAACCCAGUGUGACUCGUCACACUAUCAUUACGUGAAUACAUAGCGUAAUGAAGCGAACCGGGGGAACUGAAACAUCUAAGUACCCCGAGGAAAAGAAAUCAACCGAGAUUCCCCCAGUAGCGGCGAGCGAACGGGGAGGAGCCCAGAGCCUGAAUCAGCAUGUGUGUUAGUGGAAGCGUCUGGAAAGGCGCGCGAUACAGGGUGAGAGUCCCGUACACAAAAGCGCAUAUGCUGUGAGCUCGAUGAGUAGGGCGGGACACGUGGUAUCCUGUCUGAAUAUGGGGGGACCAUCCUCCAAGGCUAAAUACUCCUGACUGACCGAUAGUGAACCAGUACCGUGAGGGAAAGGCGAAAAGAACCCCGGCGAGGGGAGUGAAACAGAACCUGAAACCGUGUACGUACAAGCAGUGGGAGCCCCACCACUAAGCCAGUGGUGAACUCCACAUACGCAUCCUUUGCGGAAGGUGCGGUUAACGGAGCGUAAGCGACGUUUAACCUCAAAAAAAGCAGAGGGGGCUUAGUGG